rnacentral:lncRNA from 1 species
GGCAAUUUUUGUCCAGCGGCGGCCAAACUUCACCAGCCCUUGUUCAAACAGUUCCUUUUCUUCUGAUGUCCACUUCAAUGAGUAGCUACCUGGUUUUGUAGGAGAUCGCACCAUGACUUUUCCAGUUUUCUUAUGUGGGCUUUUCACAGAUCUUUUUUCUGCUUCCUUUUGACUGAGCCAUAUUUUCUCAGAAAGUGAUUUAUUUGAUAGAUAAUAUUCUUCCUCCAGCAACAUUUUCUCAAUGACAGCCCUGUUUUCUUCACUAAUGCUGCUGUCCAAUGUCCACGGAAGACUGUUAUCAGUUCUCCAAGAUGAAUCAAGGUAGUGAUCCUGCAGCAAGCUUGAUGCUGUGUUUUCAUGACCUUCUGAGGCCGCCUCCCCGGGCGCGGCCGCGAGAUCCCCCUCGACGUCCACCUCCGGCUCCUCCGCCGCCAUGACAGCGGGCUCACACCUCUC